CGUGUGCGUGUACGCGGGCGUGUGUGUGUGUAAAUGGGUCACAGUUUAAUUAGACUUGUCCUGUUUUGUCUUUGUAGAACGGAGUGGUGCACAGGGAUUUAAAACUGGAAAACGUGCUGCUGGAUGAAAACUGUAAUAUCAAGAUUGCUGACUUUGGUCUGUCCAACCUUUACCACAAAGACGAGCUCCUUCAGACGUUCUGUGGCAGCCCUCUGUACGCCUCACCAGAGAUCGUCAACGGCAGGCCCUACCAUGGUCCAGAGGUAGACAGUUGGGCCCUUGGAGUGCUUCUCUACACCCUAGUCUAUGGGACCAUGCCCUUCGAUGGGGAAGACCACAAUAAACUAAUCCGCCAAAUCACCAAUGGAGAGUACAGGGAACCUACACAGUCCUCAGGUACUAGUUUAACUAUGUUGCUGUCCCCUCUUUCUUUCUCUCUCUGUAGCUGUCUCCUCUCUCUCUCUGUAGCUGUCUCCUC